rnacentral:rRNA from 1 species
AUUGAACGCUGGCGGCAUGCCUUACACAUGCAAGUCGAACGGCAGCACGGGAGCAAUCCUGGUGGCGAGUGGCGAACGGGUGAGUAAUAUAUCGGAACGUGCCAGUCGUGGGGGAUAACGUAGCGAAAGCUACGCUAAUACCGCAUACGAUCUAUGGAUGAAAGCGGGGGAUCGCAAGACCUCGCGCGAUUGGAGCGGCCGAUAUCAGAUUAGGUAGUUGGUGAGGUAAAGGCUCACCAAGCCGACGAUCUGUAGCUGGUCUGAGAGGACGACCAGCCACACUGGGACUGAGACACGGCCCAGACUCCUACGGGAGGCGGCAGUGGGGAAUUUUGGACAAUGGGCGCAAGCCUGAUCCAGCAAUGCCGCGUGCAGGAUGAAGGCCUUCGGGUUGUAAACUGCUUUUGUACGGAGCGAAAAGGCUUCCACUAAUACUGGGGGCUCAUGACGGUACCGUAAGAAUAAGCACCGGCUAACUACGUGCCAGCCGCCGCCGUAAGAC